AAUAAUGAACCCUUGCUUUAUCUGCUUCCGGUUUAUUCUCUGUUCCUUAUCACAUCUGUGCCAGCGCCGUCGCUUUGCCUGUAUAAAUAUAGAAAAAUUAAGCUGAAAUUUGAACUUGCAUAUUACAAAAUGGAACAAAUUAAUUCAAUAUUAUUCCAAGAUAUUAUAGAUUAGAAGUAUCGCGUAACAGAGCAGCGAACACUUAUUGUAUAGAUAUUAAUUAACUUUACUCAUGAGAGGAAUGCAAUAGGUCAUAGAUUUGAUAUAGAUCACUAAGUUCCGCUUAGAAAUAAAAUAUAUAGUAAAAAUAUACUUACAAGAGAUAGCAAUAAUAUAGUAUAUUAAAAAUCAAAUAAAAGAACAAGUAGUUCAUAAAAAUAAACUUAAGCUAUAUAAUAAUACAACCGAACGAAGGUUAAGUGGUAUACUACGCAUCUAAUUUCAACUUAGUUUGAAAAAGAAGGGAUGCCGCUAUGAAUUAAUUGAUAGAAAUGUAGCAUGAAACUAAUUUUACACAAUCAACAUAUAUCGAAUACCUAAUCAAAACCUUAAAAACACUGUGGAGUUAUGCUUGUUCACCAUAAAGGGGCUACGGCUAACAAUUGCUGUUGUUGUGCUUACAACAUUUCAUUAUAUGUAUAUAUGCAACACUGCAUCAAUACGGUCUUGCCCCAUGCUACUAAUUAUGUAUCUUUUAGUUAACUAGCUCUCACAUCACGGCGUAACUUCAAGGCCACUUAGUAUGACAUUAAAAAAAUAAAAGAAAAUUAAAUCACAAAUUUUAUAAACAAACAACAACUCCACACAAACGUAAAUAGAAGCAAAAUUUUAUAAAAUUUUUAAUAAAAUGGUACGAAGGGAAAUAAUACGCAUUUUCAACAAAAAAAAGGAAGAUCAAUUAGAAAAGAACAAGUAUAGAUAAUGCUGUUUUUCAUCAUACGCUACUCUGAGAGGACCGAAAAUUUGUACUAAAGCACUGGUCACGGAUGCCAAUACUUGCACAGCCAACAGCAGACCUAAAUUCAUGGGCUUUGACGAACAAAGGUGUAGCCGGAUGGCGAAACUUGGACAGACCACAAAUACAAGUCAAUACGGCUAUUGAGGGUCAACAGGUUAUGGAUGGUCGAGCUGGCAAAUUUAGAGGCGGCAAUCAGUGGUGACAAAAACUUACGUAUGUAUGGCACACCAACUAAAGCACUGCAAUGCACUGCUGCCCACAAGUGGAGCACAGCAGGGAGCACAAUUGUAAUAUAUAAUUUUUAGUUUAUUUAGUAAUUGUGUUUUAUAUAUGUUUGGUAGCCUUCAUGUGAUAGACCUCGAGCUCAAGAAUGACAUGUCAAUUACGAACCGAAGGUAAGCGCAUAUUGUUAAUUUUCAUUUUUACUAUUAAUAGUUGCGUAAUUAUUAAUAAAAAUAAUCAUUCUAUGUCAGGUAUUCAUCCUUUGACGAAAAUACAAAGAGGUCUAAAAUUUAUAAAGAAUAUAAACAGCUUCUAGCUGGUGUGUCUGUUGAUUAAAAAAAAUAUCAUCAACCUGUAAAUUGAGGAAUUUUUGUCUUUUUGAAUUUAAGGAUAGGAUGCGUUUAAGAUUCCCUAUGAAUCCUUCACAAAGCGUAAGUAAGUGUUGUUGGAGUUUAGCCCUAAACUGCUCGGCUUCAAUGCGCCAAGUCUAUCUGCUUCUUUAUAAAUGCCAGACGAGACAUGAAGCAAUUCCUAGGCGGAUGGAACGCCUGUGUGCCUUUAACGAACUGAUACGCUUUUGAAUUGGUUUGAUACAAUUGAUUUAUUCAGAUUUUAUAUAUAUGUAAUAUAUAAUUUCUAAAGAAAUGCAUGCCUCUACUAAUUCUAUGUUACAAGUGUGUUUACACAUAUAAAUGCAGCAUAUUAUUGGUGUAUACACACUUUGGUGAUCAUUUUUAAUUGUUUACUUACACCCAAAUAAAAUAGAUUAACAGUCGAAUCCAAUUGACUCUUAGAAGUAAAUCUUAUACUAAAUAAUAUUAAAAACUAGGAAAGAAAAAAAAGUUAUAAUAAAAUAAACAAGAAAGAAAAAAGCAUGUACACAAGUAGUACAGAGGCACACCCGCAACUAGUACAUAAUUAAAUUGCAAGUGUACCCCUAAGCCAUCGCAUACACGCAAAAGUUUGGCAACCGAUACAGCAAACAAAACCAAUUAAAUUUCGAAUCAUCAUGAGAUGUUAAGAUUAAAAGUCAUUUUAAAUACGACAAAGGCAAAUCGCGUGUAUUAAGCAAAGUUGUUUUAAUAGAUUUUAAAGAAUCCGAUAUUCAGAUUAAGUGAUAGACAUAAUUUAAGUUUCAGCAAACAACACUAAACGGGUUAAAUAGCUCAGAAUUAUGUUUACAUUGACUCAGCUUAAAGCAGUUUAUGUAAAUUAUAUACUACUUUAUAUCAUGGUUAAAAGCGAAACUUUUCUUUUUUCGGUUUUGAGUCGUUGCAAAAAGCGUAGCCUUUUAUUUUCACUCCCGGACUAAUGUCAAGUUCAUGGCAACGAUACGUAUCUUUUAUUAACUCUCGUUCGCUUUGACACAGAAAGAAAGAAAAUCGCUUUUCUUGACAUUAUGUAUCACUAAUGUCGGAACUUUCUUGCCUGUUAUUUAUUUUGAAAAAUAAAAGAGAAAUGACGGCAAGGAUUAUGUUGUAACUCCUGAACAGAUCGGGACCAUGUCAUAUCAUUCUAAUCCUAAAGACAAAAAAAUUACAUGCACAUAAAUUAACAUUUAAUCCAUCCAAACCAAAGGGAAAGGAAAAUUUAUAUAG